AACGGCCAUACCAUGCUGAAUAUGCCAGUUCUCGUUAGAUCACCAAAGUCAAGCAUCAUUGGGCGCGGUAAAUACUUGGGUGGAUGACCACGUGCA
rnacentral:rRNA from 1 species